rnacentral:rRNA from 1 species
UACGUAGGGUGCAAGCGUUAAUCGGAAUUACUGGGCGUAAAGCGUGCGCAGGCGGUUAUGUAAGACAGGUGUGAAAUCCCCGGGCUUAACCUGGGAACUGCAUUUGUGACUGCAUAGCUAGAGUACGGUAGAGGGGGAUGGAAUUCCGCGUGUAGCAGUGAAAUGCGUAGAUAUGCGGAGGAACACCGAUGGCGAAGGCAGCCCCCUGGGUCAACACUGACGCUCAUGCACGAAAGCGUGGGGAGCAAACAGG